ACAACGAAGAGUUUGAUCCUGGCUCAUGAUGAACGCUAGCGGCAGGCCUAAUACAUGCAAGUCGAACGGUAAGCGCCCCUUCGGGGGUGCGAGAGUGGCGGACGGGUGCGUAACGCGUAUGCAACCAACCCCGACCAGGCGGACAGCCGGUGGAAACGCCGGAUAAUACGCCAUGCGGCCGCGGUGAGGCAUCUCACCAUGGUCAAAGCGGAGACGCGGGACGGGACGGGCAUGCGUGCCAUUAGCUUGUAGGCGGGGUGAGGGCCCACCUAGGCAACGAUGGCUAGGGGAUCUGAGAGGACGGUCCCCCACACUGGUACUGAGACACGGACCAGACUCCUGCGGGAGGCAGCAGUAAGGGAUAUUGGGCAAUGGGGGCAACCCUGACC
rnacentral:rRNA from 1 species